UUCUUAUCAAGAGCAGGCAGAGGGACAAGCCCGAUGAAGCCCGGCAACCGACUUUUUAAGCACGGUGCUAAUUCUUGCAGCUGACGCUGAGAGAUAAGGA
rnacentral:ncRNA from 23 species